GGGGGGAGUGAUUAGAGAAUUGAAACUUUCAUUCCGACACCCUGACCUUCAGGAAGGAGAGAGGGGUUGGAGGUUGAGUCAAUCACCAAUGGCCAAAGAGUCAAGCAAUCACACCUGUGUGAUGAAGCCUCCAUAAAAACCCAAAAGGACAGUGUUUAGAGAACUUCCUGGUUUGUGGAUAUACGGAGGUGCUGGGAGACUGGUGCUCCGGGAUAGGGCUUGGAAGCUCCACGUGCCUUUCCACAUACCUUGCCCUACAAAUCUCUUCCAUGUGGAUGUUCAUCUGUAUCCUGUAUCAUAUCCUUUUAUAACAAACUGCUGAAGUCAAGAAACUGGGCCACAGCCAAGCACACAUGCCUGAUGAGCGACAGAGGUGAUGCCAUCUGACUGCAGAGCGCAAGAGCCAAACCUUUGCACUAGUCACCCUCCUGACUCCAGGAGCAAACUAUGGCAUGCUCCUUUUUAAAGAAAGUAUGAGACUUUUCAGGAGGUAUUUUUCCUGGAUAUAUAAAUCAAUUCGAUUCAUAGCAAAGUGGCUUCAGAGAUGACUGCAAAGUAAAUUUUCAAUCACCCAAGCCUCUCCUUCCUUGACGCAUUUUCGGAUGGAAUGGUCUGUGCACAUCUAUCAAGUCCAUUUGGUCUAAUGCGCCAUUUAAGGCCAGUGUUUCCUUAUUGAUUUUCUGUCUGGAUGAUCUAUCCAUUGAGUUCCCCGCUUUGAACGACUUGCUUAAACCAACUGAUCCUGGACUCUGGAACCUAUAUAUCCCACUUCUGAUUUCUGCCUCCUGAGACACUGCUGAACCUCCAUCAAGGUGGUCAACUCUCCCUUACUGCAAUGAAGAGUAAGAACAAAAGAUCCUGGGGCUGCCCCAUGGCCUAGUGGUUAAGUUUGCGUGCUCCACUUCAGCGGCCCAGGCUUUCACUGGUUUGGAUUCUGGGUGCGGACGUGGCACUUCUCAUCAGGCCAUGCUGAGGCAGAGUCUCACAUAGCACAACCAGAAGGACCUACAACUAGAAUAUACAACUAUAUACCAGGGAGCUUCGAGGAGAAGAAGGAAAAAAAAAAAAGUAAAGGUUGGCAACAGAUGCCCAGGUGCCAAUCUUUAGAAAAACAAAACAAACCAAAAGAUCCUCAGCAUUUCAGCAUCCCUUGAGAAGUAAUCAUUAGGGGUAAUAAGGCUUUGCCAUUUUUUUUAGUAAGCUUGAAGGGGAAAUAGGAAAGAAACCAAAUAUGCUAAGAAUGAGAAAGGACAUUGAUGAUCAAGAGGCAGCUACCAAAGUAUUUUCUUUCUAGGCCUUAGAAGAAUUAAUAUUUGUUCUUGGGAGGUUGUGUGUAUUCAUGCUUUUAACAUAUGUGUUAAAAGAAAUAAAAAAAGAGUGAAUAUGGAACACAAAGAUGGGAUCUACCCUAAAGGGAACGUGAGGUUUCCUACUGCUGAGAUCUGGAGUUCAAAAUGCCCCCUUUCCCUCAUUCCUUCAUUCCCUCUUUCCUGAUGCCGUAGCAUCAACAUAGAAAUCCCACAGCAAACAUGAUUAAAGACCAGGAUGCUUCUCCAGCCUCAAUGUCUCAAACCCGGGGAACGGCUCUUGGGGCAUGAGUAAUGGAUUGGGUGGUGAAGGACCUCUUUCCAUGACUUCUCCCAAAAGUAGGGUGUAUGUGCUUGGGUAAGUUUUAAGGAGUUUUGUGGCCUUAGCAUGAAUCAGAGGGCAGUGGAGCCCAGUUAAGAAUGAGGUAGAAGCCCACAGCUGCAAUCUCUUGGCAAGGGGCUCUUUCCUUCUGGGAAAAUUUUUAUCACCAUGCCUGUAACAUAGUCAGCACUUGGUCAACGUUUCC
ensembl:lncRNA